GGGGAUAUGGUCUAACCUGGUUAUGAUUCGAGCUUUGGGAGUUCGCGAUCCCGGUUCAAAUCCGGGUAUCCCCA
rnacentral:tRNA from 1 species